rnacentral:rRNA from 1 species
AGACGGGGGGGGCGAGCGUUGUUCGGAAUUACUGGGCGUAAAGGGCGCGCAGGCGGCCUGGGAAGUUUUGGGUGAAAGCCCCCGGCUCAACCGGGGAAUGGCCUGAGAAACCACUAGGCUGGAGUGCUGGAGAGGGAAGCGGAAUUCCCGGUGGAGCGGUGAAAUGCGUAGAUAUCGGGAGGAACACCAGAGGCGAAGGCGGCUUCCUGGACAGACACUGACGCUGAGGCGCGAAAGCUAGGGGAGCAAACGGGAUUAGAAACCCUAGUAGUCC